UACGGAGGGUGCAAGCGUUGUCCGGAUUUAUUGGGUUUAAAGGGUGCGCAGGUGGGUAUUUAAGUCUGGUUUGAAAGCAGGUGGCUCAACCAUCUGAUGUGGCUGGAAACUGGAUAUCUUGAAUGGGUUGGCGGUAGCCGGAAUGGGUCAUGUAGCGGUGAAAUGCAUAGAUAUGACCCGGAACACCGAUUGCGAAGGCAGGCUACUACGACUUGAUUGACACUGAGGCACGAGAGCAUGGGUAGCGAACAGG
rnacentral:rRNA from 2 species